AGUCUCCGCCUCCUCCCUCUGAGUGUGUGUGUGUAACGUUAGUUGACCAAAAAAAAAAAAAAAAAACUUGCAUGAUACGACUCGACUGUGUGAAUUUUGACUGCUGAACACACUCCAUCACCUUUCCAAGGCCUGGUGUUUUUUAAAAAAAGAGCUCGGCUCUCUGCGUUAAAACAGAAUGUCCAAAGGUGAGCCAGAAGAGAUGAUAGAGAUCGAGAUCGAUGAGCGGGAGAAGCAGGCAUGCCUGGAGGAAGGCGUCGAGGAGCAGACGAUCACUGCGUCAGAUCUGAUUCAGCAAGACAUCGACAUAAAUGAGCCCAUUGGCAAUCUGAAGAAGCUCUUGGAGCCCCGUAUCCAAAUUUCACUGGAUGCGUAUGAGAUCUGCUUGCAGGACAUUCAGCUUCACCCCGAUCACAGCCUUUUCGAUCAGGGAGUAAAGACAGAUGGCACCGUGCAGCUCAGCCUGCAGAUUAUAACCAAACCAGGUGAGGAGAAGUUGAACAUUUUGGAAAUCGUGAAGCCGGUAGAAACGGUCGAGGUGGUGAUCGACCCGGAUGCGGCAGGAGAGGAGGGUACCCUGGUGGAGGAGGGUCAGCUCAUCGCCGUGGAGCGAUCCGGCUUGUCUGAUGAGACUUCAGAGCAGGUCACACGCUGGGCUGCGGCGCUCGAAGGCUACCGCAAAGAGCAGGUCCGCCUCGGCAUACCAUACGACCCCGUGCUCUGGACAGCCGAUCAGGUGAUCCACUGGGCCGUGUGGGUGAUGAAGGAGUUCAACAUCGACGAGAUGGAGAUAGGAAGCAUUCACAUCCCCGGACGAGAUCUCUGCUCAUUCAGCCAGGAAGAGUUCCUUCAGAAAGUGCCCAACGGAGAGAUCCUCUGGAGUCACCUGGAACUUCUACGCAAAUAUGUGUUGGCAAGUCAGGAUCAGUCGGGAGGAGACGCUACUGUCACCAUCGACCAACCUGUGCAGAUAAUCCCGGCUCAGGUGAGCACACCCACCGCCAUAAAGGUCUUGAAGCAGAGCCGAGGUCCCAGGACCCCUCGAAUUUCAGGAGGAGAGGAGCGCAGCUCGCCCGGCAACCGCACAGGCAACAACGGUCAGAUUCAGCUGUGGCAGUUUCUUCUGGAGCUGCUGACAGACAAAGACGCGAGAGACUGCAUCUCCUGGGUGGGUGAGGAGGGCGAGUUCAAACUCAACCAGCCGGAGCUCGUGGCGCAGAAAUGGGGCCAACGCAAGAACAAGCCAACGAUGAACUACGAGAAACUCAGCAGAGCCCUCAGGUAUUACUACGACGGGGACAUGAUCAGCAAGGUGCAGGGCAAGCGCUUCGUCUACAAGUUUGUGUGCGACCUGAGAACUCUGAUCGGCUACAGCGCCGCCGAGCUCAACAACCUGGUGACGGAGUGCGAACAGAAGAAACUGGCUCGCAUGCAGAUGCACGGCAUCGGUCAGCCCAUCACUACAGUGACCCUCGCCACCACAACGCUAGACAAAGACAGUUGAGGGGACGCCGGGCGCACGCCGUCUCUCAGAAUCGAAUCGAAUCUUUCACGACAGCUGUGUUCGGUAGGCACAGAAACACGAGGCUGAUCAUCGGCGCGGAUGAACUUUGUUAAUGUCUUUGCAGUUUGAUCAAGUUAAACAGAGGCAGACUUUUUUUUUUUUUUUUCCUUUUUAGCUUUUCUUUAACUCUAACCGAGAGGAGAAGCGUGUGCGGGAUGAGCGAGCGAAUGACGCGUGAUUGAACGCUUGAACGUGCGACUGAAAAAAAACCCAGCUAUGAACUUUGUGUAAAGUGUUCCUUGUCUGUAGUUCAGGAUAAACUUCACUGUAUAUACCGGUACUUCAUGUUUUUGAUAGACACAAGGACAAGUGUAUUUUCAUAUUUUCCAUUUAUAGAGGACCUGUUUUGUAUUUUAUUUAGUGUUCUUGUUCCCUGAACUGUUGGACCUUUUUUGUCCACUAGGGGGAAUAAAGUGGCAAGCAUUUUUCUUAACAGGUUGUGACUGAAUCAUUUCACCAGGAGAGCCAGAGACAAACAGCCAGGAGGUCGUAUGUACAUUCAAAACUUUAUUCAUGGUAUAGUGAGCGUAGAAAGCUUUUUUUUUCUUAUUCUAUGCAAAUGAUUCAUUGAACUACACACAGAGGAAGGUCACUGAAUUAAUGAGAAAUUAUAUAUAUAUAUUUUUUUAAACACUAGCCUCCAAAAGACACCCACAGUGAGCAUCCAUACAAAUUUUAAACAUUCACCUGAUUAAGAGCUUCAGUUAGUGUGUUUGAAAUGUGCAGAGAGGUGAUAUGUGUUGUAUUUCUAUGGUAUAGAUGCAUGAUAUGCAUGUCACAUUCAUGUUUUAACUUGAAGUGAUGUUAAUAACUUAAUUAAGGGAGCGAGAGAGGAGGGGAGAUGUGUCUACGCUGCUGCUGCUGCUGCUGCUGAUAAUAAUGAAGAUGCUGCUGAUGCGAGAUGCGGUCGUCCUCCCUGUGUUCUUUUUAAGACGACACGGUAACGCAGGCAAAGAAAUGAUCCAACCACAGGACGAACAGAAGCACUGUACAUGUUUACACAGGAGAUGUAGAAAAAUAGAAAUGUGAUUCGGUGAAGGAAUGUGUGUGUGUGUGUGUGUGUAC